UAGAACUCACUACCUAGACCAGGCUGGC
rnacentral:misc_RNA from 1 species